CAGAAACUUUAAAAAAUGACCAUUUUACCCUCCAAAACGAAAGUUAUAAUUCCACCCUAAAAAUUACCAAAAAUUAGAUUAAUUCCACAACCAUCAAAUGCAGGAUUUUUUUUUUUAAAUAUAUCUGUAAUUAGAAUGCUAAAUUAUAACAAUAGUAUUAAAAAUAGUCAAAUCUCGCAAACCAUCAAUUGAAUUUAAGAUAAGUAGAGUUUUAUUAUUCAUUGAGUUAUAAUCUCUAGUAGUUAAGAUUUUUUUAUACUUUAUUAAUGUACCAAUAAUGAUAUUCAUCAUUAAAUCUUAUUAUUUUUGACAUUUUUAAGGUAAAAUUAUAAUUUUCAUUUUGGGGGUAAAAUGAUUAUUUUUUAAAGUUUCUGUUAGUUUUCUUAACGAAUUCCAAACAAAGAUGAAAAAGUUAAAUAAAAUAUAACUUUAGGUAGAUUCCAGCAAAAAAAAAAAUUGUGUAUUUUAAAAAAAUUAGAAAAAAAAAACAGGUGGACAGUGGAUAUUUUCUCUAUAUAAAAUAAAGUAGUGAGGUGACAGAAUGUUAGAUAUGUACAAAAGUAUCUCACUGUUACAUUCUACGUUUUACAUAUGGUAUCUAUUUGAACAUACUAAAAAAAGAUGUAUGUACUAAUUAAGGUGAUAAUUCCUUUUAGCAAGAUUAUAAAAUUUUCUAAUUAGUCAACAUCGCAAGGAUGCAGUGACACAUUUGUUUGUAUAACAAAUAAUUAAUACAUCAGCAUAUAAGAUCGAGCGAUUGGAUCUCAAGAAUUCCAGAACGAAAAGUACCAAGCGAUAGUUAAUAUUCUAAAGAGCGGAUGCCGACAAAGGAUGAUCCAGCUCCAUUGCUGUUUGUCCGACCACAUAAGAAAGUGCGUUGAUCCACCAUGUGAUCUGUUCUUGUACAUUAUCAUAUAUGUAUACGUACAUUUCAGUUAGCCAAUGAAUGGCUGUGAUGGCCUUAUCCAUCACACACAUGUUAUUUCAAUAAGCCAAUGAAUGGCUGUGAUGACCUUAUCCAUCAGACACACAGUUGUCCACAAUAACCAUGUAUUUUAAAUACAAACUUUGUAUUUCUUUCAUCACUGACGAUUGAGGUGAUCGCUGAGUCAUCCAGCUCAAAUGAACCAGGCAUCAAUAUGUACGUACCUGUUUUUUUUUAUUCUUAAUUUGUCAAAAUCAUGAAAAUCUUGCUAUGAAUAGAUCGCGUUACCCGAUUUUAACAUGUUAACCCUUUGCACGUCGUGUAGGCCACAUCAUUUAACACUCAAGACAAAUACAACCCCACUACAAAAAGAAUUAUUUACUAUUAUUAUUAUUAUUUUAUUUUUUUAUAUCCUUUUCUUUUUUCUUUUUUCUUUUUUUUUUUUAAAAAAGAAACGUAUCCAAAUAAUUGUUGGUCCGUAGCAUAUUUGCACAUUUCAAUAAGCUCUGGCCACACUGAAGGCCUCCCCCUUCACCGUUUGCAACCACUCAAAAUAAAAUUCUGUUUUAUCAAAAUGGCGGCUUCAUCACAUAUCCAGCUUCUCUGGACCAUUAAUAAUAUUUCCUCUCUUAAUUUAGUAAUUGCUUUUCACAUUUUUGCAGCACACCUUUGUCAUGUAUGGAAGACCCCCACCUCUUCCGACCCCUCUUGGCCCCGACUGCCACCACCUCCUCCUCCUCCGCCGACGCCGCCGGCACCGCCUGUGCCGAUGAAAACGAUGCCGAUUACCACAGCAUCAACCAUUUGUCUUCAAACACUUCCAUUACCUUCCGGCUACUUGCAGUCAUUGUCCUAGGAGUAAUCUCCAUAUGGGCAAACCAUGAAGCAUCAAAAGGCUUCGAUAUAACAAUCAUCAAUGAAGCUAAAGACUCUCCGGCGGGCAGACGCUUCGAGCUCUUCUACAUAUCAAACGACAAGGCCACAAGAAUACUCCUCAACACAAGCUCCUUCGCCGAAAACAUUCUUUAUCCCAAUACCAAUUUUUCCCUGGACAGCAAGAAGCAAGUUCAGCAUGUCACUCUCCGGCUCACCACGAACACGACACAGAGAAUAUUGGUCGCCGUGGACACAACCAAUGAAAGCAAUGAUGAUUUUGUGAUUAGUCUAAGUUCAUCAGUAAUGAGCGAUACUAAUAUUGCUAAUGCCAACCACGCAAUUGUCUCGGCGUUGCAACGUGGCAUGGCUAGGAUAUGGCUCUGGGACGGCCAGUCUAGGGCUCCCCCGUCGCUGAUACAAGGCUUGGUUGAGUACAUAAGCAUGUUAGCUGGAUUUGGGGAUGCCAAAAAUUACGUGGGUGGUGAGUUGCCAGAAUUUGGUCACAUUUGUUGGGACAGUAAGGACGCUGGAGUUACGGCAAGAUUCUUGGAAUUUUGUGAGGUGAAUCAUAAGGGUUUCAUCCAACGGCUUAACCAAGGUAUGAGGCAGAGAUGGGAUAAUCGGACGGUGGAUGAUGCGUUAGGGAUGGAAGCUAAGUAUUUAUGUGAUUCUUAUAAAAUGUUAUCAUAAUUUUUUUUUCCACUUUUAAAUAAAUUGAAUGAUAGAUUCAGCUUCCAAGUUGCAUUCGGUGCUCUUGAUAAAAACAUGUAGACAUAACACAUACAUUAAUUUUUGGGGACAGGUUCUUUUAUUUUGAGCUGGCAAUAUGUGGGACAUUUUGCUCUGUCCACGUGACAAUUUUUUUAAAGGGUAAGUAGGAAGAGAUAAGAAGUUUUGUACAGUAUUUUAGAUUAGACCAUGUUCUCUGAAUCUCUGGUGAUAUGAUGAUUACAUGCAUGAUUUAUGCUAAAAAUAUAUUGUCAACACUUUUGGUGAUUGAUAUUUUUUUUUUCUUUUACCAUAAUAUCACCCACUAAUCUUAUAUACAUUUUGUAAAAUAUGAUAGAUAAUUCUAUAAACUGUGUAUUUGAGUCCAUAUGUAUUUUAUAAAAUAUGAUAGAUAGUUCCCCACAUCUGUUGAAAAACUUAUGUUGGGCGGUGAAGGAACAAUAGAUUUCAUAUGGAACCCGAAGUAGCUAGGUUUUAUAUUGAGAACCACAAAAAUUUAAUAUAAAUAAAUGGUGAGUUUCUUAGUGGGAAUCACUUAUCUUGACAAAAUUUUAAUGAUUAGUCCUUCCACCUUAGCCUGCUGAGGUGGUAGGAUCGCUCAUACGAUUCUUUCUCGCAUUAUAGAGCUAAUGAGUUUCAAUGAGUUAUGUCUGCGUGCCAAAGUGUCUUUUGCAUUACGACUAGUACUGCUUGAAGCUUAGAAAGUUCAAAAGUCGAAGGAGAAAUCUGCCAUUUGAAAACAUGAAGGAUUUGGAUCAACUUCAAGUGCGAGUACUCAACGAAGAUUCAAGAACAUGCAUGCUCUAAGUUCAUCAAGGAUAAAAUUAAUGCUCACCGACAAGACAAAUAAGUCCGGUCGUCCUCUGAAAACGACAAGCACCAUGAAGCCGUUGAAUAAGAUAAAUUAUAGUUAUGCCUUUGGAUUAACAAUCACUUUCGACCCAAAGAUUAUCAAUAACCUCAGUAGAGUUUAAUUGCCCACACCUUCUUCUUUCGAUGCGAAUUUAGUUUGUGUCUAUAUAUAUAAAAUCUUCAAUUCAAGAUUUUAAAAUGUAAAAAAAUUUAAAAUCGUGUGAUUUUAAAGUUUAAUUUUAUAAUAAUAAUAAUAAUAUUAAAGGAUAUGAUUUUAAAAUUUUCUUAAACUUUAUCGGAAUUUCAAGUCAGAAAACUGUUAUAAUACAUACAUGAACUAAAGGAAAUGAGAGGAGGCAAAAAACAUAUGGAAAAAGGUGAGACAUAAUAGAUCGCAGGAGAUGCAAAAAUCAAAUCAUUGAAAACAGGAGGAGCCUACAAAACCAGUGGUAUUUAUAAAUCAUGGGGUUGCCUUGCCUGCCUCUCUUCAACAACUCACAGAGAAUUGGUUUUCAUCGCAAGAGACCCCUCAAUUUGCAUUUAUCUCAACAUUAAAUUCAGUUGCAAGCAGGAAUUUCUAACCGUCCAUGACAGCUUGCAUGAUAUAUACUUAUAGCAUGCAUGCUGCACGUAUCUCAAGGCAAUUUUAAAACAAAAAACUGUAAUUUAAAACUUCUUUUUAAUUUUUCUCUCUUUCUCUCUUUCAUUCUUUUGUUUUGGAUAAUGGGGGUCUGUGCUUCGUGAGUGAUCAGUACCCAAAAAAUUAAAGGAGAUAGAAUGAAAUCAUUAACUGAAGCCAACUCCAUCGCUCUCUAACUGAAGCAAAACUCAAGAUAUUAAUGUCUUCAUAACCUAUUUAUUUUCUUGAAUCAAUUUCAGAUAUAUAUAUAUAUAUUAAUGUCUCAAUCUUAUCCGCUAAAUGUAGAUGGAAACAUUUGAACGUAAGUGUAAACAAUAGUGAUUUGAAUACAACAUUUGAUUUUUUUAGUUGAAGUCAAGACUCGAGGCUUGGGAAAAUCGCAUCUUACCAUUAGAGUGAGACCACCUUAGCUCGAAUAUAAAAUUUAUACCUAAAAUAACUGGAAAUCAUACAUAUGUCAUUCUGCAAUAAGAAUUGUAACAUAUAACAUUUAAAUUAAUUAACCACAACUAAUGGCGACCUCUAACGUAUUACAAGGACCUUAUAGGGAAAAGAAUUAUUGCUGCUUCAAAAGACCGAAAUUUCAUGAUAUGGGAUGGGUAGGUUAAGUAGCUAGGUUUUUGGUCGCUGGUCACCAUUGACAAACCCUUCAUUUCCAGCUAACAUCAAGUACUUGUCCCUUCUUGUAAGAUUAGUGCACUCAAACCCUAAUGCAUCAGCCAGCUGCCUUUGUAUGUGAUUUGCCACCUCAUGACUUGAUCUCCCUCCUGAACAUGUGAGCUCUUUGGGCAAUUUCCCAAGUAUCUGAAUAUGGUAGCUUGGUCUAGGGUUCAUCAAAAAGAAAAUGGGAUCCAAGCAUUUUAGUCCACUGGCGGUGGUCCCAUAGAACAUGCUCACAUGUGUGUUCAUUGCCACAGGGACUAUGUCAUCAGCUAGCUCAGCAAACAAUGAGCUAAACCUCAACAAAUAGGGCUCCCUGCAUGUGGUUCCUUCCGGGCAAACAACCAAGUCACCUUCACUUAGCAAUUUUCGCAUGGUGUCUCCAUCUUUCUUUCUGUCUCUUGUCAAUCUGACGGUUCUGAUUGGGGCUAUAAUCUCAGACAUUUUGCUUAGGCUAUAUGUGACUGCAGUCAAAGGCUUAGCUAAGGAUUUGCUGAGGAAAACAGGGUCCAAAAGUGUUCUAUGUGAGCAAACGUAGAGGACCCCUUUUGAAUAACUUGAUGAUGAUGGGCUUUGGCCUUUAAGUCUUAUCUCUAUACCACUCAUUGCGACCAAUAAGAUGGCUAGUUUGCAUGGAAGCAUGAUGCCCACAAAGAGUCUGAAAAUGGCUAGAAUGAUUCCAACUGGUAGCCACAUGAACAUUGAAAGAGUUGCCAAUGGAGUGGGCAAGAAAGCUAGCCUUCCAUCAUGAAAUAUGAGAGGCUUUGGAUAUUUGUUCCUUGGCAUUAUAGAAUUUGCACUGCUUUUACUCUCUUCCUUGUUCACCACAUAAGCUUCCUAUAAUAAUAUUGAUUAGUCAGCUUAAAUACAAUUAUGUUGUACACAAGUAAUUAAUCUGUUUACUAAUCAUAACUCAAAUGGGAAAAUUUCUAAAUGAAGAUCUAAGGUAUAUUGAAGCCAAACCGGAAUUGGCAGGAUGGUGGUUACCCAAAAUUGUAAAAAGAAAAUGAAUAAUGGUUUUUCUAUAAAUAUGACAAAAUUUCUCAAAAUUGCUCUAUGGGCUUCAAAAAUAAAUUGCCAAUAUAAGGAAAAAGAAUAAUUACCUUGCACUGAGAGAUGAAGAGUUGGUCAUGGAAACUUGAACUUCCGAGGCCAAGUUCAGGCUUCUGGUCACCAAAAUAAUUGAUAAGAGCUGUGUGUUUUACAAGCAAACCAGAGCCACAAACUAAACCAGUAAAAUAUUGACCAGAAGUUUGCAAUUCAGUCCCUACAACACCAUCAACUCUCAAAUAUUCUUUCAAGAAUCCCUCGACCAUGACUCUAGGAACACUUGUGAACACAAAUCUAGACCCAGCUGAGGCUAAAACUUCAUAGACUUCAGCAUUGAGAUUCUCAAGGUAGAAUUUAGGCAAAACCGCCCUACUCACAUUCUCCAAGUCCUUCGUUUUAAGCCCACAAAAGGUUAUGAAAAUCAUGACUCUUAGUUUACACUCAUAGUCCAAGACCCACAAGAAAAGACAAGACAAAAGCAAACAAAAUGCUCGCAAAAUGCCGCCACCUUCAAAGGCAACAAGCAUGAAAUAAGGGAAAAAAGAUUGGGACCUUAACAAAACUCCAUGCAUGUCACAAACCACAGUGUCAAAGCCUUUAUUUUCUAAAUCACACUUUGUAACACUAGGAAAAAGAGGAUUUUGAUGUGACUGUGACUGUUGGGAUGAUUUGCCAUAUGGGUUCCUUAAAAGGAAACCAUAGCUUCUCAUCUUUUUUGCAGCUUUGUAGCACGAAUUUGCCAGAAUCUUGUACCAGAGCAAGUCUGCUACUAGCCUCAGUACUACAUUAGGAAGCACCAUGGCUAAUGUUUUUGCUUUUGCUUCUACUUAUGCAACGAUGUCAAGAGACAAAACACAAGAGAAAAGAAGAUAAAUUCUGCUUAGGAGCUUUGUGGAGAACUGAAGAAGGUGCAAGAGAAGCAGAAAAUAUUUAUAAGACUCUGAUUACAAGGCAGUCUAGUGGCAAGUUGACCAAUGCGUUUGGUUAGCCACACACCGCUGGCAUUAAUUACACUGUCAAAAACUUUUCUUUUCUCCCCCUUGUUUUCGUUAAUUCUUUCGUAUUAUUCAAACAAGAAGCGCGAUAUGAACAUGCACAUGAGCACAUCCACACAUGACGCUACAGAGUUUUAUUUUUUCUUAGCUUAGCAACGUUUUUUAGUUAGGUGGGAUUGUUGGUGACCGCCAUUAAAAGUUUUCAUCCUUUGGUCAUUGUUUCGAAAUUUUUUUUUUCUUUUUCACACUCCUCAACAAUUUUCAUUUUAGGCAUUGGAAUGUGUACACAACUUUUUUGGGAUAUCAAUUUUUCAAUCCAAAGGACCAGUCCCAAGUUAGAUAGCCCAUACCAUCCGAAAAUUUUUGACUUUUUUUCUUUUAAACAAUAUUUUAAAAUUGUUAUAUACCGGUCAAAAUCGUAUCAGCAAAAUUACGGCUGCUAUUUAGGUGAUUGACUUUGUUUCGCUAUGAACAUGCCAUGUGUUGACUUCAAUGUAUUGUCAUCUCAUAUUUCGCUAAUUAAGAUCCCAAUUAGUUGGUAGUUGUCUAAGGACGAUCGAGAGAUGCUUUUAGUUGCUAUAAAAGCAAAGAAUUCCGACGGACGUGAUGUGGUAUUAUUGCUAAAAAGGAACAUAGGAUAGUAUAUAUUAUUUUGAACCAAAGAAAUUAAUCAAUGAAAUUGCAUGUUCUUGAAUAUAAUUUUACGUUUUGUUGAUUUGGUAGUUGAGAUCAUGCAAGUCUCGCUGAGGGUUUGGUUUGGUGAACAUUCAAUCAUUUGAUAUUACUGUUAGAUUAUCACGCAUAGUGUCUGCGUGAAACAUUAGAGGAUUCAAAUAUUUAUAUGAUUUAUAGUUUACAGUGCAUGAUCAUGCAGUAAUGUUACUAUUCUAAAGUAAUGAUAUGUGAAAUAUGUCAUCUAAUGCCAGAAAAUCGUUAGUUGAAUCAUGCAAUGUAUGCGCAAGCUAGGCAUGCAUUUAGUUUCCCAUGGUAUUUUGUCCAGUGUCGUGGCAUUACAAAUAAUUUUGCAAAGCUUUAACUUUCUGCCUCGCCCACCUGUUGAACAAAACAUAACACUUAUAAAUGGAGGUGGGGGAAAACAAUUAAAGUUGCACGACUCUUAGCCGGUGUGGAUUCAUUCUCUUUAGGGUUUUGAUUUUUCUAAAUCUUAUUAGGGGUAUACCAUAUAUUUGCAAUAAUACAUGUUCAAGCAAAUAAUAGGCACAUCUCUGAACUGCACUAUAUCUUUUUUAAUUUUGUUGAUCCUUUUACUAAAACAAAAUUUCAUGUAAUAAAGCUUUGACUUAGUGGUAGAUUUUUGCUCUCAACAAGGUUUGUGUGACUGAAAAUAUAUAUUUAUCUCAAAUAUUAAUAAGGGCAUAAUUUCAAGCUAGUCUCAAUAGACCUUUGGGUUAUUUUAUGAAUUUAUUUAUGUGUUUAGUUAUUAGUAAUUUUUUUUUUUUUGUAAUGUCAAUAGAUUAAUCAAUCCAAAAAAAAAAAAAGUUUGUGCUGGGUAUAUAUGACGAUUCAUAUUACAUUUACUGACUUUUAAGGGUUUGACUACUGUAUCCUAAAGGUUCUACCAUACAGUCUAGAUAAAAUCCAAUGGAUAAAGAAUUAACAUAAUAAAAUAUGAUGGUAUUGAAGUAUAGGGGGGUACAAUAGUUAGGGAUAGCAAAAUUACUUGCCAACUCACAAACCCACUCACUACGGGUAAUCUUGCAAGUUGCGGGCAGGUUUGGUAUUUCAAACUAAAAUCCACUGUAAAUUACAAGUGAGUUUGGUAUUGAGAUAAAAAAAUUUAUCGGACACCCGCAUAAAUAUCCGCCAAUCCGUAUUCUUUAUUUUAAUUAUUUAUAUUUUUAAUUUUAAUAACAAAAAUUACGUUAAAAAAUUUAAUCAUAUAUAUAUAUAUAUAAGUUAAAGUUCUUAAUUCCUAAAUUUAACAUUUCUUAUCGCUAUAGACACACACACACACACAAAAGCUUUUAAUGACUAGAAAUUUAUAAUUUUCAAGUUUAAUAUUACUAAUAUUUUAUUUUAAUUGAUUGAUUUUGUUUGUUUUAUUUCAAUGACUUGAACCUAAUGAUUACUUGGUAAAGUUGUGUUUUAAUUUCUUUAAUAAAUUGUUAACAUUAGUUGUACAAAAUUUACUUGUUAAUAUUGUUGAUAAUACUUGUAUAUUGAUUAAAAGAUAGAGUAAUACAUUGAUCAAUAAUUAGUGAUGAUGAUUUGUCUACAACAUAAAUAAUUUGUGUUAGAUUAAUAUAUUUUGUGUAUUUAUUUUAAUGUUGAAAUUUUAAUUUCUUAUUAUAUUGAUCAAAUUUAGAAUUGAGUAUCGUAUGUCUAUUUUUUUAGCUAUUGUUAUAAGUUUAUAUUUUGAAUUAUAUAAUUUAUUUUUUUAUGUAUUAUUAAAAGUAUUUUUUAAUAUUUGUGAUUUUAAAUGAUAAAAUCAAAAAAAAAAUUCAGUCUGUGGAAUACUAGUGGGUAUGGUAAUUGAUAAAACCCGCAACAGAUAGAUUUUAUUAAAAAAUAAAAAUAUAAAUCUACUACAAGUUGUAGGUGUGUUUGAUAAUUUAAAUUUUUUUGUGGGUGUAAAUUUAGUAACGAUAAUCAUUUAAUUUACAAACAAAUUUUGCUUUUCUCUAUAGACUGGAGAAGAGUACAUCUAUUUAAAAAAAAAAAAAGAAAAAAAAACAUUGAAGUUGAUUGAAUACCGUCCAUGGAUUAGUUGAAUAGCACUGUACAAGUUGGCGGUGAGACCGUGAGACCAGCAUAAUUAAUUUGCUUUUCAAAUACCAUGUACAUAGAAUAGGCUAACCAAACCUAUCUCAUACUAUUCUGAAAAUUUGUCAUUUACUUACUGAGUAGUGGAUCUAUCAAUCAUCACACCUCCAAUUCCCUUUUUUUUUAAAAAAAAAAAAAAUACUCCUUUUCUAAUUUCUACCACACCCCCAAAAUUAAAUGAACGAAUGCAAAAUAAUUUUGAAACCCAAUUUAACUAAAAAAUCAACUCUAUUCUUCUUCUUCUCCAAAAAAAAAAAAAGAAAAAAAAAACUCUCCUUCUCUCUCUUGCUUUAAUUUGUCUGUUAUGAAAUUUGAAAUCUUAACAAAAAGAAAGAAAAAAUAAUAAAUUUAUAUCUCUCUUUCUAUUGAUUUUCUCAUGUCAGUUAACAAGCCCAAAUUUUCAAUUAUGAUUUUUUUUCAAGAAAUUAGAAGGAUGCCAAUAGUUCCACUCUACAACACUUAAAUAUUUAAACAUUUAAUUGUUUUCCCCACCCCCAUUUUAUCGGUGUUAUGUUUUCUUCAUUAGGUGGCCGAGUGGGGAAAGGUAAAGCUAAGAUUGUAAUUGCUAACAGUUGGCAUAUUCCACUAUUUCAUUGGAUGGCAUGCACAGCUCAAUCUUUAAUUAAUGGCGGCAUCUCUUGUAGAAUCUUUGUUGAGAUUUGGCAUCAAUAAAUUGGAAAAUAAUUGUUCUAAAAUGGCGCUUGGGAAAAAGUAUAUUACGCCACCUUUCCGAGAAAAAUUGAGAACAUGCAUGAGAUAGAAUAUGGAUGAAAAGAAUAGAAAAAAAAAAAAUCAACAUCGAAUUUUUAUCAUGAGCCUAACAUUCUGAAAAAUAUGCUUGGGACUCUUAUAGGAUGCUCCAUUUCUAAAUAGCUCACAUCAUGGCCGCCUUCACCAUACGUAUAAGUUUUAGCACCAGCGAUUAAGUUAUUAAGUUACAUUAUUUUUUAAGUAAUUUUUUAUAAUUCUUUAAUUAUUCGACGGAAAACAAUAAAAUUAUAAAAAAAAAAAUUAUUUAUGAGUUGAUGUAAAUUAAUUUUUAAAAAAUUGCGGUCUACGCAUUUAUUAUCGACCUAUGUUUAUGUUCUCUCCGUUGAAGAAAGAAACGGGCAUGGAAAAUGCUUGUAAUCAUUUAAAUAUGAUAAACAUUAACCACCAUGUCCACAUUUAAAUAUUGUCAAGGACAUGAUGCAUAUAAACAAAAAUUAAUAAUAAAAAUUUAACACAAUCAAUUAGAAUUUUUUUUAAUUAGCAAAAUUAAUUAGAAUAAACCCCUCCUCUAAAGUGUUUUUCCAAUUUUAGCUUUUCAGGAAGGCAUAUGUAAACAUAUUUAAAUUUAAAUUGAUUUAAAAGGGUUCUCUUUUUCCCCAAAAAGAAAAAAUUACAUUAUUACAAUAAAUAAAAAAUAAUUUAAAAACAUAGUUAUAGAAUGCAUUAGAAAUCCAAUCCAACAUCUGCCAUAACUUACUUCGAUUACACUAAAUAAUGGGUUGCAUUUGAAUGGGAUUAUUUCAUGAACUUUGGUACGGAAAAAAAAUUAUAUGAAUAAACUUUGGAGUGGAGUUUGGAAGAAGAAAAGAAAUUAUGGACUCUUGAAUAAUGUUGAAAAAUCUACGAAUGUUCAAACUUUGAAGUCAAAUGUCAGUCAAACGAGUUCAAGUUUCUAACCCGGGCGUCGCGCUUACGCACAACUGAGUUAUUAAAAAAAAAAAAAAAAGUAUAAAAUGCGGAGGCGUUCUCUCUGAAACCCUCACUCAAUUCAUUCAUUCUCGCCACUGCACAAAAAAGAAUGGAGGACAAAAGAGAAGUAAAGGCAAAGAAGUCACAGAAGAAGCAAGUUCAUUUGUUCUAUUGUGUGGAGUGCGAAGAGCUUGCGCGCAAAGUCGCAGCUCAAUCCGACCUCAUUACUCUCCAGUCCAUUAACUGGAGGUUUUUAAUUCUGAAUUCUCUCUUUUCUCUGUUUCUAUCAACUUAUGUGUGUGUGUGUGUUUUUUUUUUUCAAUUUUCUUUGUGUUUCUCUUGCUUUGUUUAGCUUCUCUGCCAUGAAUUUGAUGUGGGGUUUUUUUAAUUUUCUCUUUUCUCUUGGCGAUUGCUGCUUCACUUGUGAGAUUUUUUUUAUUAUUUAAUAAAGAAAAAAAGGAAUUGUUAAUUCAUCCUAGUUGAAGUUGUGUUUAAGUUUUGAUACAGAGGAAUUUUGUAGUGUUAUGAUCGAUGGUUUAUUUCUCAUAAAACUCACCCAACACAAUUAUUGUAUUUGUGAUUUCAGCUCAUAACAUAUCCACCGCAUAGCAUAGAAAAAUCAAUUGUCAGUUUUGUCUUUCGAUAGGGGCUUUGCAGCUCUCUUAGGAAAUAUGGAGACUAAACCAUGUUUGAAAAAUCCCAAAAUUUUCAAGAAUUUUUUUUUUUUUUAAUGAUUUCAUAGCAUGCGCUGUAAGUGCAUUGUAUAGCUGUGGUGUUGACCAACGUGAAUGUUUUUGUGUUUGAGUUAGAAUGGUAAUUUUCUGUGCUAUGGAUGUAUCAGGAACUUUGCUGACGGGUGGCCAAAUCUUUAUAUAAAUAGUGCACAUGAUAUUCGAGGUCAGCAUGUGGCCUUUCUUGCGUCUUUCAGCUCCCCGGGAGUCAUCUUUGAACAGAUUUCUGUCAUAUAUGCACUCCCGAGGCUGUUUGUUGCUUCCUUCACGCUGGUAUUGCCUUUCUUUCCAACUGGCUCCUUUGAGCGAAUGGAAGAAGAAGGGGAUGUAGCAACUGCAUUUACCAUGGCGAGGAUAUUGUCAAAUAUUCCCACUUCAAGAGGUGGCCCGACUAGUUUAGUCAUCUAUGACAUACAUGCUUUGCAGGUUAAACUACAUGCAAUCAGAACUAUUAAACUAUGUUCUGAUUUUUGCUAUGAUAUGUCCUUUCUAUGUUUGGAUCGGUUGUUUUUCUUUACCGAAGUUUCUGCUAACUUAAACAUUUAGGGUAUUAUACACCAAUAUGAUGUUGCAGAGUAUCUAGUUGUAGAUUCUUCAGCUCAAUGUUUCCUUGUACUCAUUGGCCAUCCAAAGUGUUUUUGACGGGGAGUAGACAGUCUGAAGGCACUUUACAUUGAUUGCACAUGGCUUGAAUCCUCUUAUUCAUGAAUAAAUUGUGUAGAUUUGUGAAUGAUCAUUUUUCUUUACUUGUUUGCCUUCUUGACACUUGUGAUGAAUAAGCUCGUUAACAUUAAAAAUGUCCAUAUCUAUCUUCAACAACUUUUACCUUUGAAAGAUGGCUCUGUUUAUCCAUGACAUGUUUUCUUAAGUACCAGCUGCAUGUUUGUUUUUAGAAGGCCUUAUUUUUAUUUGCCAGUUCUCCUUGUGUAGGAAAGAUUUUAUUUCAGUGACCAUGUCUUGCCUCUGUUUGAGACGGGGAUUCCUCUGUUAAAGCAACGUCUGCACCAGCUCCCUGAUGCCAAUAAUGUGAGUACACAGAAAACAUAGUCGCCUGUUCUUGUACACUAUAUUGUUAUUCUAUGAGUAAUGUUUCUGAUCAUUCUUCUUAUUAUUGAGGCAUUAUCAUUGUCUGCAUAUUGAUAUUGUUGUUUUAUUAGAGACUUCACUGAAGGCUUUUGCACUGCACUGUCACUACUAUAUUUGCUAGCCCAUAAUCUCUCCAAUUUACUUUCAGAUAGUUAUUGCAUUUCCGGAUGAUGGAGCCUGGAAGCGGUUCCACAAGAUGCUGGAUCAUUUCCCUACGGUUGGUUUUAAUUCUUCAAUGAAUUUAAAUAAAUGAUUUCCCUCUUCCAAGGUUAUAAGUUAAUAAAACUUCUACUCUAGUUAUUGUAUAAUCUGGAUAAGCUGAUCCUGUUGAGUGGCAGGUGGUGUGUGCCAAGGUUCGUGAAGGUGAUAAGAGGAUAGUUAGGAUCAAGGAGGGAAAUCCUGCUGGUUAUCAUGUGGUCAUUGUUGAUGAUUUGGUGCAAUCCGGAGGCACUCUCAUUGAGUGCCAGGUAUUAUCUUACCUUCCACCUGCUGUUCUUUUAAAAAUUUGUGUUUCAGAGUUUGAAUGGGUUCUGACCUUCUGAUUUUUAAAAACUUGAUUCUUUGAAUAAAUAAUUAUUCCAACCCAAAAAAAAAAAAGAAAGAUUUUUGUGGAGUCAGUACUCAAACAUCUUCAAUAAGCAUAUAUUAUUCAUCUAAGUUCUUGGCCUUUUGGGCAAAAGUCCUUUCACAUUUAUAACUUUUUGUCUACAGUUUUCCAAAUUUAUUACAAACUUUUUUUGUUCAUCAGAUAUAUUGACUUCACACCAAUCUGUAAAACAAAAAUCAUUGAUUAUGAAUUUUUUGUACAUUAAUAUCUCCUGUACCUUAGAAUUUGCCAAUAUGGGCCUUUCUUGGAUAAUUAUUUUGUGGUGCAAGUUGAACUUAAGUUGGACAAGUCUAUGGAACCAAAUUGCAGAUCAGUUAGAUCAAGCUUUCUGAAAUUUAGCAAAAUAGUAGUGGUUACACUGUUCAAAUCUGGUAGGGAUAUGCCUUCCAUUUUUCUCUUUAAGCUUCCAGGGCUUUCAGUAUCAACUGCUGGUGGGGUAGUUUAUACUUUAUCUUUAUCCUGGCUUUGUAUUUUCUUGCAUGCCUUUCAUUUUUCUAAUGAUUAUUGGGUGUUACUGCAGUUCACUUUCUGAAAUAGAAAGAAAGAACAACCAAAGAAAAGAAUUUUUAAUCUUCUUUUUGCGUGGUGAAAGUGGAGAGACUGAAAAGAAGAAAAUAAAUUUUGAUGUUCUGUUGUUCGCUCAAUUUAAAUUAUCUACAAACUGCAAACAUGGAUCCUUAACUGACCACUACUCAAGUAUAAAUUGACAUUUCUGGCAAUUACUCAAUUUCUUCGCUAUGUCUUGUUUUGUUUGAAAAUGGCAUCUGGAUAAAUUCACGAUAUAGGACCUUUGCUGUGUUUCUUCGGACUUAAAAAUGAGGAGCACAUAGCACGUGCAUCGAAAUUCAAGAAGUCUUGUCAUAAUAUGGGUGGUUAAUGUAAUUUUAUUUGGUAUAAAUUUGAAAGCUCAAAUAGUUCCCUCAUUAGUUAUGUCAUAAUAUGGGACCUUUGCUGCAUUUCUUCAGAUUUAAAAAUGAGGAGCACACAGCACGUGCAUCGAAAUUCAAGAAGUCUUUUCAUAAUAUGGGUGGCUAAUGUAGUUUUCUUCUCGUUAUGGUUUCAGAAAGUUCUGGCAGCUCAUGGUGCAGCGAAGGUGAGCGCUUAUGUCACGCAUGGUGUGUUUCCAAAAGGCUCUUGGGAGCGAUUCACUCUCAAGAACGGCGGUAAUUACCUGUAUUCUCUCAACCAUAUUAUCUCUUCAACUUCAGUGUUCUUAUUGCAUAUAAUUUUCAGAAAACAUGGAGAAUGCUUUUGCCAACUUUUGGAUCACGGAUUCGUGCCCGCUCACUGUCAAAGCCAUAGCAAAUAAGGCUCCUUUUGAAGUUUUGAGCCUGGCAGGAUCGAUUGCUGAUGCUCUACAAAUCUGAUGGAUUUUGUUGGCAAUGUAACUUCAUGAGUACUGCAAUUUUCUUAUAGGCUAGUUUUAUUAUUGAUAUGAUAUGUAUCACAAGACUUGUGUGAAAUCCCAACUUCUGUGGGGGGAAAAAAUAAACAAAUAAAUAAAAAUUAAAUUAAAGUAAAAAAUAUAUAUAUAUCAUUGCCUUUCCAAUGAACCUUUUUGUUUAUCAGUCUUCAGUUAUAGCACUUGCCUUCGUCGCUGGCAGAAUGACUUACAUGUUUCACACCGUGAAUAUCAAAACUGCCGCACCAGUUUCAGAAUUUUUAAGCAAACGAAUAGAAAACAAAUUCAAUCACCAUUGUUGGUUCGCAUGAGAAAUAUAAUAUGUUUACGGACAUUCAAUACAGUAACGUUUUAGAGUAAAUAGAACAUCUGUACAACCAUUAAUCUCAUUAUGAUGAACCGAUCCAGUGUCUGAUUAUUCUCGCUAUACAAUUAAGUAAUAGACCUCCCACAAUAUUUACGGACAUAAACAUGCAAAUUUGACCCAACAAAAGAACUUUGAAAGAUUAUAAUAUAAGAGAGAUCAUCGUGGAAUGCGCAUAUGGCUGCAAAGACUUUUUCACUUCUCAGUAAUAUGCUGCUCCAAACUUAUUCUUCUCAUCCGGUUCAAUAACAAUUUGCUGCUCUAAAUGUUAACAAAAUGCUCUCUGCCACUUCACUCAGAAGCUCCCUAGUGAAUAUAUGUGGAGUGUCCAUAACUGAAAAGAGGACACCGACCACGAUGCAUGCAUAAUAUACACUUGUACCUUGGUUUCUCUUCCAACUUUGUACACUUAAAUACCUAUACAACAGUCAGCACUCCAAGCCACCAUAUCUUAAGGCCAAGAGUAAAAUUUCCAAUUUACUGUUAAAUCUUCUCUGGCUUCUCAUCCGGGUAGCCAUUUAAGCUUUCCAAGGAGUCCCCAGAAUAUGACCCAUCUGGCUGACGUAUAAAUAUGUUCAAAUUGCUGGAAAGUAAAGCUUCCUGGAAGAUCCACAAAAGCAUAAAAACAGUUAGCAAAGACUAAACUGAGUCCAUACAAUAUCUUCAACGGAAUCACACAUAUGGUAAACUUUAUUUGGACUCUGAUCAGCUCAUAUGCAUGUUCUGCUUGUAUUAUAUCAAUCUAAUCUCUCCCCUAGGGGUACCUUGGGGUGUCACAUUUCCACUUAACCCCACCCCCCCCACCAAAAAAAAAAAAAACAUAAUUGGGACUCUCUCUCCAUCCACUUUCCUUUUUCUCCUUAUAUUUGGGAUCACUACAUUCUGAUCUAUCUCCACCCAUUUAACCACAUACAUGGGAUGAACCUCUCAUCCCUUACAAUUUCCACUUUUAUCCUUAUGCCCCUUUUGUCGGACCACUUCAAAAUUGAAGAUAGAUAAGUUCAAACUGCAUAGUAUUAUCAUUUCUAUUCUUCAUCUUACUAAAAUUUGGCAGCUAAAAAUAAGUAUAGACCAUUAAAAGUUGAUAUGUUCAGGUGGCAAAUCCAAAUACAUUUUAUAUUUGACAAUUCAGUUAUGCAAUAAAACAAUGUCAACAAGUGGACAAAUAGGUAAAUCAAGAAUCACCUAAACAAUAGCAUAAUUUGUUUGACGAAUUUUCUUUACAAGAAUGAUAUUAAUUCAGACCAAUGACUGAAAAUCCUAUUGAAUGGUAAGAGUACUUGAUUAGAGAACAAUACAAAGACAAAUACCAGGGGAAAUUUCAACUCACUAGGCACUACAUUCUGUAGUUGCAGAAAAGAAAGAGAACUAAAUAAGGUACCUGAUCACUGGUUUCUUGGCCCUCAGAGUGGAAGACUAUUGGCCGGCAUCGUUUAUCUUCAUUCAUCAGGCUAGAAUUUUGAAAGUGUGUUACAAGGGCAGCCUGGCCCUGGAUUCGGGCAUAUGCCAAGGAUGCAACUUUCUCACUAUUGAAUUUCUCCCAUUUCUUCCCAUUAAAUGCCUGCAAAGAUUUCCAUCAUAUAAGUUCUUAGUUGAGUAAAUGGAUACCCAAGGUUCUUCACAUCAGCAAUAUAGAGUACAAAUCAGUUGCCUGACAAUCUGAUAUCUAACACAGGUAAUCUUCUAUUGGAUGGCCUUUAACAAUUUUACCAUUUAUGAAUAGAGAACCAACUUCUCCAGCUUUCAACGCACGAAUAAUAUAAAAGAAAAAGUGAAUUAAAAGUACGUGCAUCAACUUUGGAAACAGUGAGGAAGGGGUCGAACUCGUACCUCGUAAAAGGAAAUAAUGUGCGAAGGAGACACCAUGUUGAUAAAGGCAUACCCCACAUUGCACUUAUUCUGCAUACAAAUAGCUUAUCAGCAGCAAAUCAAUCAAAAAAUGUUAUAUAAUAACGAGAUUAUAGAAUUUCCCAAAGUUGAGGUACCUUAAAGUCAAUUGGCAAGUACAGAAAAUCAUAAGUACCCCUGUGAUUCUCAUCAAUGGCAGCCAGCAGCAUUUUUGAAGUAUACCUUAAAGGAAGACAAUAAAAGUAGAUAUUAUCAAUAAGCUAACCAUCUUCAUUUGAAACCAACAAGCACUGCAACAUUUUUAUAAGAAUAUUCAUAAAUUUUCUUACUUAUUAGGGAUGUUUUUGAUCAUUAAAGUAGUCCUAGUAUCCUCCCCACUAAUGAUUUUGUCCAAAUCAAGCUGAUACUGCUUUUUGCUAUCAACCUGGCUCCCACUAUUCUCAACUCGCCUGGUGCGACCACGUUCAGUAAACGCCUCAUUGCUAGUUAUUCCUAGUCCCGAGUAAGAACCAUUUCCAAAGAAGAGGGGACCAUGCCUUGGGAAUGACAUCAUUCUGAGACUAGGUGAACCAUUAUCAGUCACAUUUAACGGAAGGCCAACACCAACACGACCACCAACAUUCAUCAUAUAACCUGCAUUGUUACGACUUAGACCCAUACCCCCUAGCGGAACUGGGUUCGUAAAGGAUGUUUCUGGUGACUCAGGGAAAAAGCCGAAAUUCCUGUCAAGGGAAACACCAGAGGGAGCUGAUCCAACAUGAUGUUGAUGAUGUGAACCAAUAAAAGAUCCAUGCCGACUACCAUAGGGAAAGCCCUGUCCUUGUCCACUAGACGAAAAUGGGUGCCCCACAGAGGAUGUUGGCCAGGCAGAAGAGCUGGAACGCUCAGAAUAAGGAGGGGGGCUUCCCCAUAAAAACUGAGGACCUGAUAAAGUUCCAACACCAGAAGAAUUUGAAUUUGAUUCACCAAAAGGAGAUUUAGGGCCAGGACUUGCACUUAAUUUCUGUUCAGGAAAGGAUUGAGAAUGCUGAUAGGCUGCUCCUUGCAGUGAUGCAGAGUUAGAAAACAUGUGGUUUGUUUGAUUAGCCCUUCCUUGGUCCUUACCAAUUGGAGCAAUCUUUCCAGUGUUAGAUAGAUGAGGUGGUAGAAUCGAAGCCAACCCGGGCAAGUGAUUACUGUUUACGGGAGUGGGUGUUGCCAAACCCGUGGACUUACUAAAAGCAUGCAAAGGAUUACUAUUUAUAGGACUGAGUGUUCCCAAACCCGGAGACUUACUAAAAGCAUGCAAAGGAUUGCGUUCAACUGGGCUACCAAACUGUGCCCAGGUACCUGUCAUUGACGUGCCACUAUUUAGCUAAUAAUAGAAAGAAAAAAACAUUUCCAAAAGGAGUUGAUAAACUUUAGUACACAUUAUUAACUUCUCAGACUACCACCAAAAAAAAGAAAAAACUAUUUACCUGGAGGAGAGUUGGUCACUGGUGAGCCUACUUGAUGCCGAAAACCUCGGGCUUCAUCUUGUUCCAGCUCUUGAUUUAAUUGUUGCAUCAGGCUGACCAUAAACAAGUACCUCGACAUUAUUAAUUUUCUAUUUUACAGAUGAUUCAUGACAUAUAAUAUAAGUGAAGAAAUUCAACAAAACAUGAUUCAAGAAGGAAUAUCAACAAAAGAAAUUAUAAAUCAUAAAAUAUGUACAUAACAUUCAGAGACCAUAGAAGAUCAGAUCCGGUUAUUUUACAAAGAAUAGCUAUCAUUUAUGGAUAGAUUUACUUGAAAAAGUAAAAAAAAAAAAAAAAAAACUGUUAGCAGAUUUACAGUUGCCAGAAGAAUAUUAUUGAAAAAAAAAAUCACCAACGAACAGCAGGUCCAAAAGUGUUACAUAAACAUAACAAAAACUGCAUCUUUUUAUUUCUAUUUAAAAAACUGAAAGGCUUCCCUGUUCCACUCAAGUGAUCUACAAUUCACUUGUAUCUCACUUAAAUAAUGGCAUUCAUUUAACUAGGAAUUUCAUAAGAAAUUGCACUCACAAGUUAGAAAGGUACAGGUAUCUUAUAUUCUCGACUACUGAUGAUUUAACUGGAAAUUUAACUCUGGCAGAUGAAGAUGGAAGCUGCAACUGGUGUCAGAGGGCAGGUCCGAUAAUAUAUGAAUGUUCGAUAAUCUUGCAGUUAUCAUCAACAACUAAUGAGGAAACAAGUAAUUUAAGAAGAAUAAACAAAGCCACAAACACUAUUGUUGAAGCUACUGCUGUGCUUUGAUUACCAAAAGGAAAUUUUGGAAAUCUUUUGAGAAAAUGUGGAACCAAGAUAUCCACUCAGAAAUCAACAUGCAACACCCUUUCUCAAUCAAUAACCAACUUGGAUUGCAUGAUCCACAAAAUGUUUAAACCACUAAACCCACACUGCAUGGUAUAGGGGAUAGAUUAAUGCAUGUUGAUUUUACAAACCAUACUUAAUCAGCAAAUUGAUACUUACUUUCGACGUGCUCCACCAGGGCGACUAGGUUCAAGCUUUAUGCGUUUCCCAUUUAUAUCACUCCUAUUUAAUGCUCUGAGAGCCGCCUCAGCAGCUCUCACAUCAUAAAACUCUAUGAAUUUGUGAUGUCGCUUAUGAGGUGUUUCCCUGAUCUGCAUUUGUACACAGAAACUUACAUAUUAGGUAAACAAUUAGCAUAGCGUUCAGGGUACAAUUAUAAGGAUGCGUCAAAGAUAAAUAUAUAUUGGCAAACAAGCACCUCUUUGACCUCCCCGUAAGCCCCAAAAAUUUGACGAAGGUCAUCAUUUGAAACAGAAGCAUCCAAAUUGAACACCACAAGGGUCCCUUGAUUUACAUCCUUUUCUGAUGGAUUAUCCUGGAAUUUAGCCAGAAAAAUAAUUCAUGAAUAAGUACAGGAUGGAAUUAACGUCCACAUAAAAUCAUAUGACAAGCUAUCCUGAACCAAACCUUGGGAAUGGAAAAAUGAAUAUCCAGCUUCCUUCGUCGUAAGGGCUUAUUUUGUAAUGCACGCAUUGCAGUCCGAGCUGCUCGGAUAUCAUAGUAAGAUAUCAUCACAAAACCCCUAUGCUUGCAUGCAGUGUAUAAAGUUCUGAUAUCCCCAUAUUGCUACAAAGAAAAUAAGCAUUCAAUCAAUGACAAUCAAUGAUUGUAGAAACUAUCAAAUUGAGUUCAAAGUCAUUUUCACCAUGAUAAAUGGCAGAACAAAUUAGAAAUAACACCAGAGAAUCACAAUAAUACACUUCUUCAACCAGACCCAAAAACAGCAAUUACAGAAAAAAAAAAACAAAAGGGUUCAGCACUUAAAAGCAAAUCACUAAAAGACUUCAAUGCACAUGGAAACAGGAUGUAAAUUCAACAGAAUACACAUAAUACCCAAAAUUCACUCACAUACAGGAAACAAGAGUCAUUCAAUCAUAACAAGAAAAACACAGAAAAUGAACAUCUCUUUUUCAAUAACAUUAAAUAAUAUGUGAUCUCUUAUUCAUUUCCUUUUCAUAACUUGAUAAUAUUAUUUUAUCUGGUAUAUGGAGAAAAACAUGAGAUAACCUUUUCAUUAAGCCUUUGAUACAUUCUUUCUUCCAGGAAAGAUGUUAAAAUGUCCAUAGCAAGUCAAAUACAUGUCAGGUAUACAUAUAUUAUUUGAAAAAUAACCAAAUUUCAGAAGUAACAUGAUCAGCAAAGACAUUAAUAACACAGAUACUAAUGCCAAAGUGGACAUAAAGGUUUUGUAAAAGGAAAUAAAAACAAUAUGACAUACCUCAAAGAGUGAUCUCAAUUCCAAGUCCUCAACAUUACUAUUGAUAUUUCGCACAAACAGUGUUCUUGAAGGAUGCUCCCCGUAUGGAUGUUCCCCAGCAACUGUUCCCACACCAUUUGAGAUAGGAUAGUGAGCAAUGCCAGUGCCAGCAAUCCCGUCAGAUAUGUUCAGUUUUGACACUCCAAUACUAAGGCUCUCAUGGGGCUCAAAUUCCAACUCCAUUCCUCCGCCACUGUCAAAUAGAUCAUCUUCCAAAUCCUCCAGUUGGCUAGGCAACCCCCUUAGGUCAAAAUCAUCUACUAAGCCAGCAAGAAGAUCAUUUUCAUCAUCAGGAAGCAAGCUUCCAAUUGUUUCAACACCAGCAAGUGGACCAUUGCUCUCAUUUUCCAGGUCAAUUUUGUUUAAAGUUGGUGAGCUAUCAUCAACAGAUUGAUCAUGGUGUUCUGAAUCAGCAAAGUUCACUGCAUGUUGGCAAAAGAAGGCCUAAGAUGUUAAUUUUAAGUAAUAGAAAUCUACUAUAUCUUGUAAGAAGAGCUCACACAUACACUUCUCAUGAGGAAGGACAGGCAGUGAACUAGAAAACAAGCUUGCAUCAUUCGAUGCAUUAUUUGCUUCUGUUCCAAAUGAGAUUCCCCACGCACCACUUCCCACUUUCUUAGGGAUGGUCAAUGAUGGAAUAUUAGAUGAGCCUACAAAAAUAUUGAUCCAAAGACCACUCAGAAUAUGACAUCAGCAACUACACUAGAAACAUAAGAAUAAAUGUUUGUCUUGGCUUUCAUCAGAUUGACAGAGAGAGAUAUAGAAGGCACCUUUAGAAUGGCCCGAAACAGAAUCCCCUGAUUGUUGUUCCAUAAAUUGCUCACAGCAGCAAAAGUACCUGGGAGCUAAGCUAUUAACAAAUUUUCAAUUUGUUUAUUGUUAUGGAGCUGCCUUAACAUCAUCAAAUAGCCAUUCAUAAAGAGAUGCACAGAUAUAAAUCUAUAAGAAUUGAAGAUUAAAUCGAAAACAGUACAUUAAGCAAAGAAAAGAAAGACGAUAUAACUAUUUAAUUAAUCUAUAGGAAUUUACUUAAUUUAAGUGCAUUCACUAAAUUCUUCAGAAAUGAUCAAAGUGACUGCAAACAUGGUCCAAGAGCUCAAUUAUCUACCACAAAAAUGUCAGGCUGAACCAAAUACCUCAAGCACAGGACAAUUACAAUCGAGCUUCCAUGAUUUCUUCCCUUACUAUCACGCUGGAAAACUAUUUCGUUAAUCAGUUGCCCACAUUUCUACUGUUUUUCAUUAGUAAAAGCUCUUGUGAAAUUCAUUAGUAAUCAACUAAGUACAAACACAAUUACAAUUUGUUAAGUGAGAAAAUUCAGCUCCAUGAACAUUACAAUCAAAAGUAAUUAGCAAUUAUGAAACAACAUUCACUUGAGCCUAUUAAAUACUCAUUCCUCUAUACACAAUUGAGCAAAGCAAAUUCUCAAGAUCAGGUACGAAAUCACAAACUUCAACAACCUAAUAAUACAUCCAAAACUCCGCGACACAUCAAAAAAUCAAACAGAAUUAGCAACAGUCCGCACAAAGUCAACACACACAUGAAGGACAAAAAAAAAAUGCCUCAUUUAGCCAUCAAGUCAAGCACAAACACAAACUCUAAACUCAAAAUUUCACUAUUUCAGUAACAGUUACUUGAAUUCCUAAUAAACAAAACAACUGAUCACAUACGAAAAUUACGAAGAAGCGUAAAAGGAAGAAAGAAAGAAAGAAAGAAAGAAAGAGAGAGAAAAGACAGUACCUGUUUGGAGAGAGAGAAAAUAAAUGAAUUAAAGAGAGUCCAUUAAAGACGAUGAUGAUGAUGAUGAUGAUGAUGUGUUCAGAGAAUUCAAACAAAGUUUUUGUCUUGAUCAGGAUUAUGUGUAUAUAUAUAUAUUUUUUAUAUAUUAAUAAACCGAAGAGUUAGGGAGAGAGAGAGAGAGAGAGUUUCGUAGAAGCAGAGAUAUUUCUUUCUUAUACUCUUCUACUUCCUCUACUCUCGCCGAGAAACUAGACAGAAAAGAAAAUUUUUUUAAAAAAAAAAGAAAAGGAAAAUGAAAGAGAAAAAGGAGAAAAGAAAAAUAUCUCACAGAGAUAAAAUGAUUGGAGGGAAGCAAGGACUAGUUACCACUAAAGCCUAUAUAACACCACACUACAGAACUCUACAUCGACACAAAUUAUUGAACGAUGAAUUAAUUCUCUCUUCCCUCUCAAAAUUCCACUGUAUUUGAAUUCUGUUUGGCGUCCGUUGACAAGGAGGUGAGGUGGGGCGAACUAAGAUUCAACCAAUUAAUUAACCUUCGAGUUUGGGUUAAUUACGGGAUUGCCAUCGGGAGUGAAGCCCUGGAGGGCAGGAGUGCGGUUGCGGUGACAGUGGCAGGAUGUGAUUGGUGGGAAGAAUUGAUGGGGGGUUUUUUGUUCACUUUGAGUUGCUGCAACCAAAGAGGUACUGACGCGUAGGAUACGUUAAAUGAGAUUGAGUGCAGAGGAAUUUGUGGAACUGUGGCUGGUGACGUGCUGUUGCGUCGGCAGAAGCGAUUGGGAUUCACCUGCUAAACCGUGUGGGGGCCUCCAGGGAAUAAAUGUCACAAAUCAGAUUUCGACACGUUUGUGUUAAGUCACACGAGGCGAGGAGAAUCGAGUUUGGGUGAAUUUUGGUCAUAUCAAAAAUUUCACUUUCCACUUAGACGGCCCGUGACGGUUUAAGGUUUUACAUCAUGGGAUGCAUGCACAGAAGAGUUGUGUUUGGUUUGUACAACUUUCAAGUAGUGAAUAAUGAAUUUGAUCUUACGUUGAUUUGCAUUAUUUUUUUGAUGUUCGAAAAAAUAUGUAACCGACAUUAAUAUAUAAAUUUUAGGAUAUACCUUAAAAUUACGUGAAAAUAUAAAAAUAUCCUUAUUUAAAGAUAAAUAUUUAUAUAGGAUAAGACUAUUUAGACCGAUCGAACUAUUAAUUAAAUUCGUUUCUUAAAAAUAAAAAUUAUGACACAAAUUUUCUUAACUUAAAAUACUAUUAUAACCAACCAUUAUAGCUUUAUUGUCUUCAAUUUCUCUCACUAAAGUUUUUAUCUCUACAUUAAUUUUUCAUAAUGGUAGCUGUAGUUUCAUGGCUAGCACCAACAAAGGCGCCAAGAAAUCAAUGAUUUCCUAAUCGAAAAAGCCACUGCCUUCGCCCAGAAAUUCCGCGAAUAUAUUGUUCUUUCGCUCUCUAGAUUCACUAUCCUUUCUCGUUUGUCUCACUAUUAAAGCUUAAGUGAUCAACGCCUCCGCCACCUUUGUAAUCUCACCUUCAUAAUUAUCUAUUAUACAUUUAAAAAUUACAAGGUGCAUAUGUUAAGAGUGAAAAAUAAUAAUAAAAAGAAAGCUUGUAUGUAUAAUUUUGUUCUUGUAUAGCUCUGCAAUAGGUUAUGGAGAAGAUGAGCAAAGGAACAAUGAAAAAGCUAUCGAUAACAAAUAGUAUUCUUAAAAAAAAAAAGAAGAAAAAAAACGCUACAACAAGCCAAGAACGAUGGGAAGAUUUAGCUAUAAAACAAAAAACAGAAUACUAAGAGAAAGUAGAGAGACAAAAGUUGCAAAAAAAGAAAAAAAAAACUAAAUCAAAGAGAUUUAAAUAAGGACGUAUUGGGUAUAAAGAUGGGUUUAUUGAGUAAAAAAUAAGUUUUUAAACUUUAUUUCAUGAUAUAGGAUAAUAAUACAAAUAAGUUCAAAAUAGGCAGUAUAUAUUAAAUCCAUUACAACAAAUAAAAUUGAAGAAAGUCGUUAAAAUGUUAUUGACGAGUGAGGAGAAAAAUAGCGCACGAAAAUAUCGACCACAUCAUCAAACACACACCAUAUCAGAGCUCCUCCCAAGAAUAAAUGUAUGUACAUGAAGAAGAUUAAUUAUGAAGUUAAUAACAUGGGCUUGAAUUGGUGAGCUGGCCUCGGACUUUAUUUAAUGGGUAAUGGCAGUCAAGUCGCCUUGUAGGCCAGGCUGUGACGGGACAGUUGCGUUUGAUUAUUUAAAUGAGCCUAUUUCAUUGGGUUGCUAACAAGUGAACAAGGGAUGGCAAAUUGAUGGCCCGGGCCGGGCCUUUUCAAGCCUCUGUUGUUGAAAAUAUAGGACUCAGACUUAGGCCGAGCUUGGGCCGAUACGUGAUUCCGCAUAUUUUUUUUUUAUUGUAAACUUAUAAUAAGUUAAUAAUUAAUUAUGAAUUAAAAAAAUAAUUAUUUCAAAAUAAUAUAAUAAAUAAUGAUGAAGCAAUUAAAUGCUUACAUGUUUGGUAUUAAGGUUCAAAUGAGAGUCUAGUGUUGUAACUUUAAGUUUUUUUUUAAUAAUUAUUGAUUUAUGAAUUAUGAAUUUUUAUUUUUAUUUCUUUUUUAUAUUUUAAUUUAUUGUUUUAAUUAAUAAAUUUAUAUUUAAAAAAUAGAGGAUCGGGUCAGCUAACUAUGGCCAAUGGGCAACUGUCGGCCCACCAAUUUGGUGGGCCGUGCCGUGCGUACCUUUUUUUAGUUGAGCCCAGCACGGUGUGGGCCGUACCCAAAAAAAGCCCACCAACUUUUUUUUUUUUAGCGUGCUUAAAAAAGUCAACGUGCCUGACGUGCUUUUUUAAGCCUACCAACAUAAUAAUAAUAAUAAUAAUAAUAAUAAUAACAAUAAUAAUAAUUUUAUUUAUUAAAAUCAUGAUAUUUAGUUAUUUACUUAUUCAUUUAAUAAAUUAUAAACAUAAAUAAAUAAUUAAAUAAAUAUCAUAAAUAAAAUUUAAUAUCAUAAAUAACAUUAUUCAUUUAAUAAAUAUCAUAUAUAAAAUUAUGAUAUUUAUAAUUUUAUUUAUUAAAAUCAUGAUAUUUACUUAUUCAUUUAAUAAAUUAUAAACAUAAAAAAUUAGAAUAUUUAUUUAAACUAAGAUUUAAUGAUUUAAAUUAAUUUUUACAAGUCUAUGCUAAAAAAUAUAUUAAAACAUUUAAUUUCAAGAUAUUUUACUUUAAUUUCAUAACAUUUUAUAUUUACUUUUUGUUAAAAAAAUUUACUUAGAUAUAUUUUGGCCCACGUGCUAUUAAUGUCUCAUGGGCCGCGUGCUAGCCCACUAAUGAACCGUGCUUAUUACGUGCUUUUUCGCGUGCCGUGCUUUGGCUCAUCUCUAAUCGUGCCGUGCUUUAAGGCCUGCGUGCCUAAAAUUCUAGGCCCGGGACCGCCCACGUGCGUGCUGUGCCGUGCCUCGUGCCUCACCAAAGCGUGCUCGUGUCGUGCCACGUGUCGCCCGGGCCAUUGGCCAUCUCUACUCAGCUAACCCGAACUUUUCGCCAACUUUAAAAUGAACGGCACUGACAAUAGCGAUUUGAAAUAUGAAUUUUUUUAAAAUAAAACUUUAUUAAUUAAACACACAAGCACAUAUUACAUGAGAUCAUUAUUUAAUUUAACAUUUCACAAAAAAGCUGAAGAAAAACACUAAAUUUUGAAUGUCCCUUCAUUUAAUUAUUAUUCUUAUACUUUGACUGUUCACUAGUUUAAUCGCUUCGAACAUUAACGAGUCUCUUAUGUGCAAACUAAAAUAUAAAAGCCACAAAGAUUCCUUUCAACCUUCUUGCUAGCUGAUUAUGCCUUUGUAGUUUGUAAGGGCGGUGAAUUGAAUCGGGUUGACAUUCGGCCUCGCAUAACCCGUAAAUGGUGUAGGCUGGGAGGGUUGGGCUUUUAGAAAAGGCUCAUUUUCCAAUUUAGUAUUGUUUCAAAACUAGAAAAGUGUAAAAAUAAAUAAAUUAAUCAAAAUAAUUACGGAAAAAAAAAACAAAUAAUAACAUCGCCAAGUAAAUCCAGAAGUUCAAAGUUUAAAAAUCAAACCAAUAUUUUAUUUUUCCUCUAAAUUUUAAUAUAAUAUAUAUAUUAUUUAAUAAUUUAUUAAAAAAUAUAACUGCGAGUUUGCGGAUUGGGUUGUGUUGGGCUCAAUGCCCACCUUAUCUAUUUUAUUUAAUAAUUAUUUUUUCCUUUCACCCAAAAAAAAAUGUUGUUAAUACAUCUGAACCAAUUGUCAUAGACUUAUAUAUAAGGAUAAAUUUCAUAAGCUCAUGAAUUGAAAAUUCAUAAAAUUUCUUUACGUAUUUUAUGUUCAGCCCCUUGGGUUUACAUAAUUCUGUUAUAGAAUUAUGUUGACCGGUUCUUAAAGUACGUUUGGGAUUGAGGUUGGACAACUGUAACUUAAAAGCUACAGCACUAAAAUUUUUGGUAAACACUACCUGCUAUACUUUGGAAACUAUAUUAAUAUGAUUUUUCAUUUGUAUAAUGAAAAAUCUAUUAUAUUUUUAAUAUUUUUUUCAAAACUAUUAUUUAAAAUUUAUUAUUAUUACAUAUUAUUAACUUUUAUUUCAUAAUUAUAAUUUUUUUCUACAGCAGCUGUAAUUUAAAAACUAUAACACCUCAAUCCCAAACGCACCCUUAAUUUAACCUCCUCAAGUUUAUAGAUUUUAUGUUAUGUUGCUCAAUUUUAUAGUUUCACCAUUAUAAUCUUGUCCAAUCAGAAUUUUGGACCAUUGACAACAUGACAUGUUAUUUUUAUUAUUUUCCAUUAAUUUUGCUAUAGCACCAUAUUAUUUCUACAAAAUUUCCAUUAAUUUUGUUAUAUCACCAUAUUAUUUCUACAAAAAAUUUACCACUGCAGACAAUCAAUUUUUUUAUUUUAAAUUUCAUCUCAAAUAAUUCAUUAAAUGGUCGAUAAUUCUUUAUUAGAUCUAAGUGAAUUAAUUGUAUUAUCUUAUUAACUAAUUGAUGAAUACCAUACCAUUGAAGAUAAUUUUUUGGGAUAAAAAAUUAAAAAUAUAUAGCACUGUUCAAGGAGUUUUACAUUCAUUAAAAUCAAACUCGAAAAAAUAUGAAUUUACAAUUUAUAUUGCUUCUACCUCUUAAAAUUAAAAAAAAAAAAAAACGAAAGGUAGGAUUGAGCAAAGACUAAAUAUAUUUUUAAGUUUUAACCCUUAUGCCCCCUAGAACUUAAACUCAGAUGGUCAAACGGAACAAAGAUCUAAUUAAAAAAUCACUCGAUUAAUCUGCCUUUUACAUCUUCCAUUGAGUACGCGAACAAAUUGAAUAAUUUAUACAUUUUAAAUAAGCAAAAAUCAUUUAGGCAAAAUAUCAAUUGCCAUGUCAACACAUUUAUGAGUUUUGUCCUCACAAAAGAUUCUAGACAGGGAAAGGAAACACCGAAGGAUGAAUACGUCUCACAAGCGAGUGAUACGAUCCAGUCGAGUUGGAAGCUGCGUGGUGUGGCAUCUUCUUUGCCCAGCGGCCGGUAGGUACAACCGCCGGACAAGGGACCCACAACUUAAAAAGAAAAGGUUCGUAUGGCUAUUUUGUAACUGUCCACUGCCUCAAGAAAACUUCACGUGGCCACGUGGUUUUAAUCACCACAUACCUGUCGUGCAGGUUACGGUAAGGAUAUCCUCUUUCCACUUUCUGUAUCCGUGUGUAUUUUUAAACCGCAUAGCAUACGGUUACGUAUACUUAAGUUCUUGAUAUGAAAGGGAGAGGGUAAAUAAGUCAUUUAAAUAAUGUUGUCGAGACCUGAGACUCUAUACGGUGUAUAUAUACUAGAACUUAAUCUUGUCGAUAAAUUAAUAUAUGAGCUCUCACAUAUACGAGAGACUCAAACUCUCAACUCUAAAAAUGAAAUAAGAAAGUGAUUGACCAAUUCAAAUAAGAAAUUGUUACCAUUUGAUAUUAUAUCUUUAAAAUAAAUAUUUUAGCACAGAACCACACUACGUUAUGUUUAUCGUAACGUACAUCCACAUACAGCAACAGUUCUCAUGAUGAGAUCCGCUACUGUUACUAUGUGUGGCGUACGUUACGAUUAACGUAAUGUAGCACUGGCCUUUACCACAUGGUUAUGAAUAUUUUUCAAUAUAAAUGCAAGCUGGCUAUUUUUUUAAUAUCAAAUUGAACGUAUAAAUGACCUUUAAUUAAUGUAUUAAUUCAAGCAUUACUAAAUUUAUUAUUAUAAUAAUUUUGUAACACGUUUAAAUUCAAAUAUGCGACACGCCACUCAAUUGAUUGAUUGGAUGAAGAUAUUUAUAACGUUUGAUCAUUUUGGGGCAAUAUAAUAUUAUAGGCUUUUAAAAGCAAAAGAGAGAGAAUUCAAUCAAUUCAUCAUCACUCACGUAAAAGAAGAAAGAACUGGGUCGGAUCUACUUUUAGAAUAGUCAUAAGAAAGGAAGAAUUAGUUGGAUACCUUUGUCUGGUUUAACGUGCUCCAUGUGUUGAGUACUUUGCUUUGGUGAUUUGAGUUACUCAAUUUAGAAAUUGGAAUGCUACCUACUUUUAUAAAAUAAUAAAAAAAAACAUUAAUUGCAUUAUAUUACUAAUUAACUACCUUUUGUACACAUAUACAUUAUGUGUUAAUGGAAAUUAUAUAAUACGUAACGAUAGUGUUGCUAUUAAUAGAAAUUAUAACAUAUAAUGAAAAAGUUGUAGUGACGAUUGUAACUUUACAGACACUGCACUGCAUACAUAACAUGACCCUUUUGAUAUAUCUUUACAUAACCCUAAAUACGUGAGCAUAUAAUUACUCUUUAUCUUCAUCGGUUUAUAUUCCUUGGGCACUUUUACUCAAUCUCUGUUAAUUGUUCAGUCGGUGGAGUGCCAGUUUUAAUCACAGAUACGAUGAGUUCCCACUUUGAGUUGAUGUUCAUGCUUUUAUUCCAUUAUUGGUGAACGUAUAGUUCAAAUUAUUCAAAGAUAAGGCAACAUCUUGGGCACACAUGUCCUUCAAAAUCACAGCAUAUUGUUUAAUAUCAAGGGUUUCUUUUUGGGAAAAAAAAAUAUUUUAAAUUAUUUUUAAGAAAAUUACCAUGCCACACAUAUAUAGAUACCAGCAUUUGCAUUUUUGUAUUGCCUAACUAUUUACUGCUGGUACCUGAAAAUAUCUUUAGACAUAUGUUGUGUCAACUUGGGUUUUAGCCAGAAUUUUAAUACCAUGAUGAUAAUUUUCUAAAAAUAAUGUAUGUGUUUCAAUUUUCAUGCCAUUAAUAUUCUUUGUUUGGGCAACUUCAGAGUAAUUAAUGGUAUAUGAUAUUAAAAGCAAUUAUCAUUUCAUUUGUUAUCUUAAGGAAAUCAACUUUUCUUUCUCUCUUCCCCCCCUCCCCCCCAAAACCCCUCUUUUUGUGAAAAAAAAAAAAUUGAUAUUUGGUUUCAAUACGUGAUUAAUGUCUUAAUGUUAUAAUUCCAAAAUAAUUGUAUUUGUAAUGGCAAAAACGAGGAUGCGUUGUCUAAAUUUGUGUAAUCUUUGUAAUCUUUCUCUUUCUUUCACCAUCUUACUUUUAAGCAAAAGAAAUCAAUGAUUGAAUGAUAGUGACAAAAGAUCUGCUUUCAAUUUUUAUUUAUUUUUAAACUUCAAUUUCUUUUUAAUUAAUCUUAUGUUCAAUGUUAAUUAGCCUUGCCGGUGAGUGGCUAUAACGUUGUUAAAUCAUUCAAAAGUUGACUCAGAAAGGGAAUAUAUAAUUUCAUUAACCCAAUGCCUUCGCUGCUCCAUUCUUUGAAUUGAUUUGAAACAGCUCUCGUUACUAAAUUACAGAAUAUUACACGAAAAGAAAGAUAGAAGAGAUAAGACCAUCCAAAAAUAUUUGUUUUUAUCUCUUUGGACUUAUUGUUUCCAUUUCCACAAUAUUUUAUAAUAGGGGAAGUUUUAUUGGAAGAAUAGUACAAUUGUUAAUUUUUAUUUGGUUUUGCCUAUGGCUUUUAUAUUGCUAAUUGAAUCAAUUGCUUUUUAAUUAAUUAUGUCAACGCAACCUAUUGUUGACUUGUGAGGGGCCUGGUUUAAGAGAACUUAUUUAGAUUCUGGCUUUGAGGUUGGACAGUUUAGUUUAAACAGUUAUAACAUUAAAGUGUUUAAUAUAAUUAUUGUAGUUUGAAAAUUAAAUUGAUUUAAUCUUACACUAAUAUGAUAAAAAAAUCUACAAUUUUUUUAUUAUUUUUAUCAAAAUUAUUAUUUUAAAAAUCAUGCUUAUUACAUCAACUUUUAUCUUACAAUAAUUGUUAUAUAAAAGUAACGGUAUCUUAAUAUCAAACAGAAUCAUUAUCUAGAUGACUAUUUUUACAAAAUUAUUAAUGCCGAGUAUGCCGAAUCAUAAAUUGAACACCAAAUGAUUACUUCUGAAAGCAUGACUGGCUUGGUCCCUCAUUAAAAAUUACCUAAAUGAAUAAACCUUAAUGUGUCCCCAUAAAUCUUAUAUCAUAUAGUCACAUUGUUGUAGGAAUCUUAGGGUGCGUUUGGGAUUGAGGUGCUGUAGCUUUUAAGCUACAGCUGCUGUGAAAAAAAGGCUGUAAUUAUGAAAUAAAUGUUAAUAAUAUAUAAUAAAUAUAAAUUUUAAAUAAUAAUUUUAAUAAAAUUAUUAAAGAUAUAAUAAAUUUUAUAUUAUACAAGUGAAAAAUCAUAUCAACAUAGCUUAAAAGUUACAGCAGUUAGUGUUUACUAAACACUUUAGUGCUGUAGCUUUUAAGCUACAGCUGCCCAACCUCAAUCACAAACGCACCCUUAAUCAUGAUUUGACAAUUUGAAGGCAUUAACAUAUAAUAAUAGUAAAAUCCUUCUUCCCCCCGGAUAUAUCUACUGAUUAAAAAAAAAAAUUGAAAGAUGAUGAUAAUGUGAAUAUAUUCUAAUGCUAGAUACUUCCCAACAACUUUGGAUCUGUAUUAUAUAACAUAAGAAAAGCCAAAACCCUAGCAAACUUAUAAUAAAAUCUUUUUGAGUUAAAAGAGAUUCUUAUACGUGUACAUAUAACUAUCCAAUAAAAUUACCAUAAUGUGUACAUCAUCAUAUACAUAUCAUGAUUAUAUUGGUUUAUUGUAUGUAUACCUUCGAUGCAGUGGGUCUUUCUUUCUCAUUAUGACACUCAUCUUAAAUACUUGAUCAUUUAGUUCGUAUUUCAUUAGAGUCUUUAUUUGUAUUUGAGUGUCACCUCCAAUGCUGCUUCCAAACAUUUUAAAAUGACUUUACAAAUGAAACAUUGUAGAACAAUAUUUUUAAACUUAUUUAAUUUGAAUACUUAGUUGACACUAUAGGAAUAUUUUACAAAAAGUUUAACAAUUUUGAUAAAAAUAAAAUAGUAAGUAUUAAGACGAGUUGUAACAUAACCAAGUCAAAUCUGCACCUAAAAAUACUGUGCCAUUUUGCAUUCAUUUGAAGUUUAUCUUUUUACUUCUAAAGGAUAUUGUACGAUAUGUCCAUAAAAUCAAACCAAGUUCAAGUUAAAGUAAGGCUAUAGAUGUGUGGUUAUUUAUUCCUAAUUUUGUCUUAACUCAAGCUUAAUUAACGGCCUUGGGUUUGAAACUAUGAUGGAUUAACCCUAGAUCAAAUUGAGAUUAACCCUAAUUCUCAACCCUCUUAAUUUACAUGAUUAAUAACGACAACGGACCGAAUCUCUUUGCUUAGUCUUUGUUCUUUUAAUAUUUUGUUGGGUAGAUGUUGACUGUAAAACCCUUUUCUGUCUUCAAAUUUCAGCCAAUCCCAGUUAUUCAUGAGCCUUCUGGUCAAAAUUAAUGGCUUCUGCUUUGGAUUUUCUUUUCUUUUAGCUAUUUGUCCCUCGUUAUGUAAUGGGUUGUUAGGAACAAAUCACCAACAUUUUGAAUCCUCAAAUCAAAUCUUUUGUUCGCCAAUAUAGCCGUCAUUUUAGAAGUUUCAAAACCAUUCUGUCAUAAACAUAUAUUUUUUUUCCUGUUUAAAAAAAAUAUAAUUUUUUUACUUACGAUAAAAUUCAAAUUAAUUAAUUUUUAAUCAUAAACUGGGUCAAUUUAAAAGUAGGAUAAAAUGUCAGCAGAGCAUUUGGUGUGCGGCUGGUUUUCAGAUACCCCAUAACCGAUGAGAUUAAAACAAAUGUUCAAAACUCAAAAGAGGUUGGUGACGGUUGUUUAAUUAAUAAAUUUAUCCAUUAAUUUCACUUCGAGACUCCCGAGAAAACGUGUUCCUCAAAAACAUUUUUGACAUGUGUUGCACAUGUAUUUUUGUUUUUAUUUUUCCAUUCACAUAGUCGGAUACCUAUUUCAAUGGCUAAUAAUUAUAUUUUGCCACCCGGUUUAUGUAUCAUAAUUGAAGUUUAACUCGAAAAUAUUAGUAAUGAGAGAAGCUAUUUAGUGCUUAUGGAGGAGCAUUACUCCUUCUCUGUUCAAUACUUACUAUACGAAUAUGUGUGUUAUCAUAAUUAGUUGAAAUAUAUACACGUACUCAAUACCAAAUGAAAAAAGAGCAGUGCUCUAAGAGUAUUUGUGAUUUUUUUAAACUAUACAUAAAAGAGAAUAUUUACUUAACAAAACACACGGAGAGAUUCAAAGUCACAACUUCAAAAUUAAUGUGAAAAAAUUUAAGUUCUCCGGUCACUCGACUCAAGUUCAAGAAGGAUUGACACAUGUAACAAACAUGUUAGAUAGUAUACACAACCACUAAUAACACUUUCCCAUUUUAAAGAUAUAGCCUAGAGGACUACUUCAUGUUACCUUGGAAAAUUUAUUUUCGGCUUUAAGCAUUUUUAACGUUGAACUAAAGAAUAGAAGAUGAUGGUAAAAUUUGAAUGAUUGGUACAAGUGUGGCAAAUACAUUUUCAAUAUGAUUGCAAAGGUUUCCGGUAGGAGCGUGUCUGGACUCCCGUGUCUCUCUCGGCCUUCCACGUGGGUCUACUAAUUAUUAUUCUACGAAUAAAAAAAUAAAAAAAAAACCCCCACGCGGCAUAAUACUAAGUCCAAAAACACUUUUCAGAAAGAAACGACGCGUACGGGUUAAUUCUGGAAACAGAAAAGAGAUUCCCGAAAUUCUCUCGGCCUCCCACCCGGCACCCCGCCCAAACAAAAGAACGAAUCUCUCAAUUCACCCCUAAACUUCACCGCUAAUUACACAUCAAUGCCACUACUACCGUACUUAACUCGCAUUAUCCGUAUUUUUUUAAAAAAAAAUUUGUAAUUGGAUAAGCAUUUAAAAAGAAAAAAAAUUACUAAAAAGAUGGGAAAUUAAUAACACUCUGUAUAUAUUCCUAGAUUCACGACAAAAAUACAUUCAAUUGAAAAAAAAAUAUUUCUCUCUCUCACAUAUAUUGUAUGCGGAGCUUGCUUCUCCCUACUGUCGGUGUUGAGAUCUUGCAGCAUCUACACUCAACGUCGUCGUCUGGCGGUCGCUUUUAAAAAAAAAUUAAAAGCAAAGCUUAAGUGCGGUUCAAGAUCGCAGUACCUGUAAACCUGCUCGCUCGUGUUGAUCAUAUUUAUGUUAGUUGAGGGCAAUGGUUAUUCGGUUGUGAGUGAGAGUCGUAUGAGGAGAGGAUUGUGGUGGGACUGCGGCCUUGUCAUCAGGAGCAGAGGCAGAUGGGGCAAAUGCGGCUAAUUUGAAUCUCCACAUUUCUGAAAAUAAAACAUUUUCAAUUUUCACUUCAUUAUCUCUCCGUUGCUUAAAUUAUUUUGUUCAGUUUUCAACUAAAUUAUGCAGCAAGAUCACCGCAAGAAGGUUGAUUUUCUUUCUUUUUUUUUGUGUAUUGAUUUGAUUAUGCGUUAUUAUUAUUAUAUUUUUUGUUAAUGGAAAACAGCAUAAUUAAAUGCGAAUUUACUUUUUUUUUUCUUUUUUAAAAUUGAAUUCAAUGCUUGAAUCUGAUCUCAUUAGAUGCUGCUAUGUGCUCUGUGUGUUUGUGUAUCUAUCUAAAAGCGGACCUGAUUCUGUCCUCUCUCUCUCGCUCUCUAGUACUCGCUGUCUGUUUACUCUUUCUGUUUUAUUUGUUUAUUCAUUUAUUGCUGUGAGUGGAUAAAUUUUUUUUUUUCAUCCUGACAUUUACAAAAUAUGUGAGCUUGAUCUUACUUUUGUGUAUGCUUCCUUGGAUCUUUGCUUGGAUCCUUUUGUGUGCUUCUCUGAACAUGCUCCGUGCUCUUUGAGGUUUUGAUUUGUGUUCAUGUAUAGUUACUAAUUAGAUACAUGUAUGAUUGUCUGCUCGUGGAAUGGAUUUAUCAGAUUUUGUGUUUUAGUUAAAAUGUUGAAUUAGAUUUUUUUUUUUAAUGUACUUUUUUCAGAACUGUGUUAAUUCUCAUCUUGUCAUAAAAUUCUAUACCUUCAGCAAUUUCAAAACAUAUUUGGAAUUUCGAUUAUGAGAGAAUUCAAUCUAGAUAACAUAUAAUGUAAUGGACCGUUUAUUCAGCCAAAUGCGAACUAAGGGAAUCCAUUGCUUUCUUCUUAGACAUCACUUUUCUAAAACAUAUUUUCACUUGCUGCUGUAUCGUAUGUUCAUGAAUUGGAGAUGUACAAGAUGUGAUUUUGAUCUUUGGUUGACAUGCUUUUGAACAUAGAACAAUAUACGUAGCGGCAAGAAAUAUUUAAUAAUUUUAAGAAGAAUAAGAGAAGUAUGAAGUUAUCGUAGAUAAAAGCGAUUUGUGACUAUCUUUUUAUCCUGCUUAUUCAAGCUUUGUUUUGUUGCUGGGCAGGUCCCCUGUCAUAAUAAGUGUUCAUGUCUAACUUACAAAAGAUUUUCAAUUUUUACGAGCGAUGAAUUUGAAUUUGAAUAGUCAUGUUGGCUUAAUAUCAUGUAUCUGUGGAUAUAAGUCUGUCAGUACUAGCUACUUGCACUGGUAUGCUAACCUAGUUUGGCCACUUGGGUUUUUCUAUGUUGCAGAAUUCUCCGGAGAUGGAGUUUUUCUCUGAAUAUGGUGACGCCAGUAGGUACAAAAUUCAGGAAGUUAUUGGGAAAGGUAGUUAUGGUGUUGUUUGCUCAGCAAUUGACACUCAUACUGGUGAGAAAGUGGCAAUAAAGAAGAUACACGAUAUUUUCGAACACAUAUCUGAUGCUGCUCGCAUUCUUCGGGAGAUAAAACUACUUAGACUUUUACGACAUCCUGAUAUUGUUGAAAUCAAACACAUUAUGCUUCCCCCUUCGAGGAGGGACUUUAAAGAUAUUUAUGUUGUUUUUGAGCUCAUGGAGUCAGACCUCCAUCAAGUCAUCAAAGCCAAUGAUGAUUUGACACGAGAGCACUAUCAGUUCUUCCUUUACCAGCUCUUGCGUGCGCUAAAAUAUAUUCACACAGGUAAUCUACGUACUACAAACUUUUUUGUCAGUGUCUGGCAUUAUUGCUUAAUUAAUAACAAAAAUUGAGUUGACUGGUUGACAUAAUUGUGGAUGACGUAUGUAGUAGUUGCAAAAAAAUAAUUAUUGCUGCGGUUUUACUAUUUUUAAGACACAACAAUCUGGUAUUGCCUUUCUGUCUGUGACCUGUUUUCAUCUAGUUAUGCUUGCUCCCUUGAGUUUGGAUAAUAUCUUGCUGUCAUUCUAUGUUGUCAUUUCCUUUAUUCUCUUGCUCCCUUUUUUUUAUGUCUAUCUAAUAGUUAUCUACUUGGUUGCAGCAAAUGUCUACCAUCGAGAUCUAAAACCAAAGAAUAUAUUGGCAAAUGCAAACUGUAAGCUUAAAAUUUGUGAUUUUGGGCUAGCAAGAGUUGCGUUCAAUGAUACACCUACUACAAUUUUCUGGACGGUAUGUCAUUUGUAUGUUUAUAUAUAACCUUUCUGAUUAUUGUUAAAUUACUGUCUUACCAAAUUUAUAUGUCUUGUGUUCUUUUUUUUCUGAAUAUAGGAACUCAUAUUUCUUGUUCUUUUAUGGUAUUUCUGCAGGAUUAUGUUGCUACAAGAUGGUAUAGAGCUCCAGAGCUUUGUGGAUCCUUUUUUUCUAAGGUAUGGCUUCCCCCGCUUGUUUCCAAUGAAGUGUUGACAGCCAUGGUGUCUUAUGAAAACAAAACAAUAAUACUAGCAUAGUUUUGUGCUAGUUUUGGACCAUGACAUUUUGUAGAUCCUUUACUGGAUGUUGUAUUUUCGCCUAUGAAGUUCUUUAUUGAUGGAUCAUGUAGUAGCUCAUGAAUGGGUAAGGUGCCUAGUAUGUGACCACAAUAUUGAGUGUUUUGGGUUGAGAUUUUAGGUUGACAAUGUAUAACCAGUUUGGGUAUCAGAAAAAUUUAAAAAUAUUGGGCUUCUAUGUUCCAUAAGUGACAUGUUGCUGCUUCAGAUUGCAAGGUUAAAAAAAAUGGUUUCCUGAAUGACAACUUUUUCCUUGAUGGAUUCUAACUGAUUGGCUACUCAGCAUUUCAUGUGUUGAUUUUAUUUAGUGUAGGGGGAAAAAAAAGAAGAAAAGGUUUCCCGAAUUACAACUUUUUCGUUCAUGGCUUCUAAUUGAUUGGCUGCUCAGGAUUUCGUACAUUGAUUUUAUUUAGUGUAGAAUUAGAAUAUAGAGAAAACUUUAUGCAGUAUCAUUUGAUAGCAGCUGCCCAGUAGUCACAUGACCCAUAAACGCGGGAUUGAUGGAGUUUCAUGCACCAUCACUGCAAGAGAUCAAUUUGGAUGCAAGAGACAUUUUCUAUCAUUUAGGAAUUUUAAAUGGCUAAUAGCGUCUUUCUUUUAGUUGUUACUCAUGUUAGAAUGUUGAAGAAAGUGUAAACGCAUACUUGCAAAUAGAAUUCUAUUGUUCAAAACACAUUAUAUAUCCCGUGAAUCCCAGGUUCCAGAUAACAUAAAGGGAUUCCAUCUAUUAUUUCUCUGUCAAAUCAAUUUACUUAUAGCUUAUUUAGUAGGUCCGUGAAGCAAUAUUAUUCAGCUGCAUGGUCAACUUUAUCCAUAUUUCGUCGAUCAAAAGUGGCAUUUUAGCCUCUUUUUGUGAAACAGAUUGGAGAAAUCAUCGAUACAUGGUGGUGCUUGGCAUUAUAUUUGCUGAUGUAUGCAUUUACACCCAAUUAAAGAAUGAUGUUUUGGCAUUUCAAAGGGGCUGAACUUGUGGUUGGUUCAACUUCCAUCAGUUCUUGGAUGCAUUAUGAUCCACGUGAGUUGGUUCGACUUCCAUCAGUUCCAAUAGGGAAGGCUGCAAGAUGGGAUAGAAUUGUAGCUUAGCAGAUUUCACUUUUUCUGAUUGUUCUGGCUGUGUCUCUACAGCACUUGAAUGUUUCUGAUAUAUGAUGAUAGAUGGAGAGUCUGAGAGGGAGUUGGAUUUUCAAUGUGGUACAUUGAUUGUAACUUGUUCUGUCGCAGACUGAGACCAUAUGUCAACAGAAGUUUUUAAAAAAGACAAUCUACAUCAUGCACAAAAAGUAACUUCAAGCUACUAGUUGACACAAGCAAGAUUUAUCUUGAUGUUCUAUUGUUUCUGCAUUCAUGGUCAUCAAGUUUUAAGGAGUUGUAAUGUAUACCUGAAGCUGGUGUUGGUUAGGCAUGCUCACAGUUGUACUGUGAGAGAGAUUCCAUUCACCAUCUAAAUCUAAUGACACGCUAACAUAGGAACAUAGGAGAGGAAGCAUUGAGGUUCAAAUUGUCAUCUUUUUCUAUUCUUUUUGUUGUCUUAGAAUAUUGCAAGCCAUGUAUGCUUGUUCCACUACUUUUUUAAAGCUUAAUUCUACCUAUAGUAUAACUUGAAGUCACCAUUAUCUGUGAUUGCAUUCGCUUGCAGUAUACACCAGCCAUUGACAUAUGGAGCAUAGGUUGCAUCUUUGCUGAAGUUCUAACAGGGAAGCCACUUUUCCCUGGAAAAAAUGUUGUUCACCAAUUGGACUUGAUGACAGAUCUGCUUGGGACACCUUCGUUAGACACAAUCUCUCGGGUAGUCAAAUAAUUCAUUUGUCUGUCAUUUGGUUAUGGUGUUCAAAGUUUGAAUUAUUUGAUUAGAAUUUAUUCCCCCAACCCCAUGCCCCCUUCCAAGGAAGACAAGGGAGAGAAAGGUCUGUGGUUCUGAUGUCUUACUUUCUGGAUUCAGGUUCGAAAUGACAAGGCAAGGAGAUACCUAACCAGCAUGAGGAAAAAACAGCCGGUUCAGUUUUCACAAAAAUUUCCAAAUGCAGAUCCUUCAGCACUUCGACUGUUGGAAAGGCUGCUUGCCUUUGACCCAAAAGACCGGCCAACUGCUGAAGAGGUUAUCUUAGUGUUAGAUUAUGAAUUGUUACACAGCAUGUUUUGUCAUUCUCAUUUAUUGUCAUAUCUUGACUUAAUAUUAACCACAAGAAUAUUUGUUGAAAUUUUCUUGUUUGGUGUUUUAUCAGGCACUUGCAGAUCCCUAUUUUAAAGGGUUGUCUAAAGUUGAAAGGGAGCCAUCCUGUCAGCCAAUUUCGAAGAUGGAGUUUGAAUUUGAGAGACGGAGGGUCACAAAGGAGGACAUACGGGAACUAAUUUUCCGAGAGAUAUUGGAAUACCAUCCUCAAUUGCUAAAGGAUUAUAUGAAUGGAACCGAGAGGACUAAUUUCCUCUAUCCCAGGUUAUAACUUUCUCAGUCACUAUUUAGUUUUGAUAUUAAAAAUAUGUCACAUGUUUUUUUGUCUCUACUUCAUGCUGAUUUUUGGUGUUAUUUUAUCUACAGUGCUGUUGAUCAGUUCAGAAAGCAGUUUGCACAUCUUGAGGAAAAUGUAGGUAAAAGUGGGCCGGUAAUCCCGCCCGAAAGAAAGCAUGUAUCUCUUCCAAGGUAGGACACUCUGGUUUUGCAGAUUCUUCUUGUUCAUGAAAAUAUACAGCAUCCAUAACUUGUUGAUAACAAAGGAUCAAUCAAUGAAUUCUUCUUUACUAAUGCUCUUUGACUAGAUAGUCAGUUAUAGGUUUUGAUAGUCUGUAAUAUAAUGGCAUCUUGAAGCACCCUACUAAAUCACAUUUUCUUUCAGUUUCUUCUAUAUCAAAUGAAAUCCCCUCUACAGAGGAUUUUCUUUCAGUUCUGGCUGUUCUAACUGGUUAACCAGUAUUGCAAGGAUACAGAUUUCUUGCUUGAGAGAUGUUUGCUUUACUUCAGAUAGCCCAAGGAAUAAAGACCGAUUUGAUUAACUUUGAUGAUUGCAGGUCAACAAUUGUGCAUUCAAAUACAGUUCCUCCAAAGGAACAGCAGAACCUUUCCAGAGAUCGGCAGGCUGCAGAAGAGGUAUUCAACAAAAAUUCCAAGGAGUCAGAAGGAAUUCCUGCAAAUUUGUCGAGGACCUUGCCAGCACAACAAAGAUUUCCAUUAGGUAUUAUUACUCUUGCAUGGUAAAUGUUAUAGUGACUCUAUUGAGUUGAUUGGAAUUAAACUUGCUGUUCUCUUCAGCCAAACCAGGAAAGGUUGUGGGACCAGUUGUGCCAUAUGAGAAUGCAAGUGUCAGGAGAGAUGCUUAUGAUCCAAGAACAUUUAUCAGAAGCACAGUGCUCCCUCAGGCAGUCCCUGCUGCUUAUUGCUACCGCAAAUCUAGUACAGGAAAGCAAGAAAUGGAUUCUGAGAGGGAAAUGCCUUCACAGGUGAAACAUGUUCCUCAAUGUGGCAUGGCGGCCAAAUUUGCAACAGACAUAGCUAUCAACAUCGACUCCAAUCCCUUUUUUAUGACACGAGCAGGGGUGAACAAGGUGGAACACAUAGAAGACCAAAUCUCCAUUGACACAAAUUUGUUGCAGACAAAAUCUCAGUAUGGUGGGGUUGGUGCUGCUGCCACUGCUGCUGCAGCAACAGCUGCCGCUCACAGAAAGAUUGGAACGGUUCAGUAUGGUAUGACAACGAGGAUGUAUUAGCCAAAGGACUAGAGGCAGUUUCAGUAAAGUUUGAGUAAUUGACAGUGAAGGGUUCUUUGAAGGCAUUGGGACAAAACUAGAAAAUGCGGAUUGAGCAGUAGGAUGUGUAAAAUAUGCGAGUUCAGGUUUGUCCACUCCUUCAAAGAGCUAGCUUUUCUCAGGUUUGUCUUAGGCGCUAGUAAAAGUUUGUUUAUAAGAAAUGAUAUGUUAGUGAAAUUAUACAAUUCCAUCCUUAAAGAAAAAUAAUUCUCUCUCUCCUCUCUUGAAACAUAUUUCAAAUGGGAAGUUCAUGUGGAUUCAUUUUAAUGAUAAAAUGAAAAGGCUUCAAAUAUACCGAAAGUUCUGGCCCUCUUGGUAAUUCAUCUGUAAAUCUGAAAUUUUCACUUUGUUGGAUUUAUCUGUGACAAUUGUCUAUUCAUUGGGCAUCUCAUUAAAUUACUGAAGUGAGAGAUAACUUUGCUCUAUUGUCUCGGAAAUUAUUGGUAUGUAAAAAGCCAAAAAGGCCUAAUUGUAUCACAGAUUUUAUAACGAAAUUAUGAAGAGAAACCAGAAAAACGGUUGUAUAGGGCGGGCCAGAACUGCCAGACUUUUUAGGACAGCCGCUCUAAACCUAAACCAAAUGUAGACAUUUAUAAUUAAAUUAUAUCUCACUUUAAUGUGUAAUCAGGUUUCUUCUCUUGAAAGCUGAAACAUCAACAUGACACCAAUUAUAUUCCUACUCUUUUUGCUUAAUUCUAAUAAUUAUAUUUUACAUAUGAUUACAUGAGACCUACAAUUUAAAUUUUAAUUGAAGAAAGAAAGUUUUUUUUUUUUUUUGCAAUGUAAUUAUUGAUUUCUUUCUGAAUUUAUUUUACAAAACUAAUCUAUUUACAAUGUAUUAAAAAAAACUGAUUUUUUAAAAAAGAAACUUCUAAAAUGAUACGGAGUAGGCAUUGGGAAAAUCUCAGAUGCAGAAAGGCGUUGGGUAAAGUUCAUAUUGAAUUUUUUGCGUCUCACCCCUCAGUAUUCAAACUCGAAUGGUUAGUUAAAUAAAAAAUCUUGACAAUCACCUAUGGGAUAUAAAAUUUAUUGAAUCUUUCAUAUUAAUUUUGUAUUAGUGCAACCCUUGUGUUUGGAUUUCAAAAAGAUAUUUUAAAUGUUUUGAAAAGAAAUUAAUUGUCCCAGGGCUCCAAACGGUCUCCUGUUUUUUCCGAUGGCAUUGCAUUCGCCCGCGGGGAGGUGCAUGCAAAAACUUGGGUCAAAAUUUCAAGACCUCAAGGGCAUGAUUGUGGGCCUUCAAAUCCUUUACAAUAUGAUAUGAUAAGGGUGGGUCGAGAUAUUUCAGCUCUCAUCAUUUUUAUAAAUUCACCUUUUAGAAAAAAAAUUUAAUAAGUUCACACGCGCCUUCCCACGGGCAACGUGAUGCCACCAGAAAAAAGGAGAGUCAUUUUGGGGCUCUGAAAUAGUUUUGGUAGAAUUUUUUCCAAAAUUCUAAGAAAAAUCCAAUAUUUUUUGCCUAAUUUUGAAAUAAAUUCUCAAAAAAAACUCUCUGAGGGGAGGCCCAUGAAAAAGACCCAAAAUUGGUGUGCUAUAACCUUUGGCUUACGGGUUCGAGAUGAGAAGUUGGGUUUUUCUCCAAAAGUAACUCGGUUUUUCUCUUCUGGGACAUUUCUUAGACCGUUGGGGGUGCUCCAAGUCGAUGCCUC
rnacentral:lncRNA from 1 species